CGUGCCAAGUGUUCGUGCAUCUUUCCACUUCUCCCAUUAACAACAUAGAGCCUCGAUCCACGAGGAAAGAAAUUACGACUUGACAGCUAUACCAUAAAUAUGGCGUUUGAAAUAAUUAGCAGAUGCAGCGUUGUUGGAUGAUACACGCGGCAAACAAAUAUCGGGGAUGCGAAAAAUAAGAUGGAAAAGCGGCGCGAACAAAUAAUACGGGAUGAAGAAAACGAGAUAAAACCCCAUGAAACGAAAAGACGAUAGAAGAAAGCCAUCCGCGAAGCCGACAUCUCCUCGCUUCAGCUUUACGUCUUCCGUUGACUGGCCUGAAGAAUCCCGCUUUCACGUCGAAAGUCUUCUUAACGAGAGUAAAGAAGAAAAAGAGCUGGCACGAGAUGGAGAAUAUCCUUCGAGUACCUAAUAGCUUUUUACGCCUUAUUACUUAUCAUUACAGCUAGCAUAAUAACGAUCGACCUUGGAAAGAAAUAUGUACUAGCUCGAUAAGAUCACGCGAUUAUCAAUGAUGCAAUGGACCAACCAACUUCAGUUCGUGAUAAAGUUUUCCGGCAAAUAUAUCGAGACGCGAAAAAUAAAUAUGUACCGAUAUAUUUCGUUUAAGGAAGAGUUAUGCUAUAAAUUAAGCGCGAGAAACCCACAAAGAUUUUAGCAUUUGGGAAAUUUGGUAUAUAACUAAAUAUCAUAAACUAGAAUUCCUCGACAAUGGUAUUUGCCUAAGUCUGAUUAAGCUUCCUUAAUCUCUUAGCCAUUGCGGGGUUGAUUCCAGGAGUCGCGAAACAAUUCAGAGAUACAAUGCUAACAGAGAAUACCUUCUGAUCAUUUUACGUGUUAAAUUCAGUCUACAGUUGGCAAAAAAUACACACCGAACAUAGGCGACAUUCGCAAUGCAAACAACGCUAAUCUAAGCACAUAUAUGGGCUCGUUCUUUAGCAAAUAUAAUAAACAUGUUAUAUAAUA